rnacentral:lncRNA from 10 species
GAAGUUCUAAGAAUCAGGCCCUUCAUACCAUUUAUAGUGGAGGUUGCCUGGCAUUCUGUGUAUCAUUCUAGUUCUUAGCAUGCACAGCUAUCUCCUCUGGAUUCCAUGAGGCAGGAUUCAUCUCAGUUCCCUCUAGCACAGUGGCUAACAGAGCAGGUACUCAGAAGUGCCUGUGACUAGAGUCACAUAUAAGACAGGGUCUGUUCUCAGGAGCUCAGCAUGCACAUGUGGAGACUUCACAGGAAAAUGUAAGGACUUUCACAUUGGUGGCAUCUAGUUUCAAAGAGAAUGGCGAGUGUCUCAGUCAGCUAGGGCUGCCAUAGUAAAAUUCCACACUUCUGUUGGCGUAAGCAACAGAAAUGUACUUGCUCACAGUUCUGGAGACUGGAAGUCCAAGAUCAUAGUGCCAGCAAGGUCAUGCUCUGGUGAAGCAUCUCUUCCUGUCUUGUAAACAGACAUCAUAUUGUGUGUGUUCACAUGGCCUUUGCUUGGUGCAUCUGCAGAGAAAGAGAGGGAGAGAAAGACAAAGAGAUGGAGAGAGAGCUGUUUCUUAUAAGGGCACUAAUCCUAUCAUGGGAGCCUUACCCUCAUGACCUCAUCUCAACCUAAUGACCCUCCCAAAGCCCUGUCUCUAACUACCAUCGCAUUGCGGGCUAGGGCUUCCACAUAGGAAUUUUGGGGGGACAAAAUUCUAUUUAUAGCAGUGACUUAAUCUGAGGUGACCCAAGCAGCUUUGAAUAGGAUUGGGCCUGGUGGACACAAGAGGAAUGGAAAACAGGGUCUGAAGGUGUCGCUUGCAGGGUGACCCCAGGGCCCAGAAUGCCCAUGUCUUCUGCUCCUUAAUCUCCAUGUCCCAAGAGGUGCAUAAGGGGACACUGGGGACACAGAAAAGCCACGUCUUCAUCAGCGGAGGAAAUAGCUCAGGAAAACUCCUAUGCGUUCUUUGGUUUCCCUCAUUAUUAAGACCAAUCAUAGGAAAAUGAGAAAGGAAAAUCCACUCUUCCACCCGAUAUGUGUGUUCUUGUGACUCCCACCUGAUGGAGACGGUUGCUAGGAAACUGUGACCACAGUCUGCAGAUUCUGUCAAGGAGAAAGGACCCCCUCACCCCUGAGUUCUCCUUGAAACUCACAAAGUGCUUAGCUGCAGCCUGUGGUGCAGCAUUCAGGAGAGUUAAUGCUGGCAAUUCACAGAGAAGGGAACUGAAGAUUAGGGGCAUCAGGUAGGCAGCUGGUCAUGGCACCAGCGUGUGGCUUGGAGCCAGCUCCCCUGCUGCCCAGGGAGGUGCUGUCUCUAUUCCAUUGCACUGCCCUCAAGAAGAGGGACCUAGUUCAAAACCAGAAAGGUGAGGCUGCCAUGGUCUGCCCUUUUGGGGCACCUCUGGAAGAGGGUACCUCUUCACCGAAUGUCUUCCUUUGUGUGUUCUCACAGGAUGGCAAUCCCAGGUCUGGAUUAAUGCCUGUGUCUGCUGAAAAACAGUGGGACAGACAGUGCUGGUCCAUGGCUGCCUUCAAAAUGCUACUAAAUUUCUGUCUGCCAUAAAGUGGAGAGAAAAAGAGUGCAAAACUAAAACGGGAAGGUAAUAGUUACAUUUGCCAACUUAAAAUACAUUAGUCUUAGUCUUGACAUCAUCAAAAUGAGGUGAGAGAGGAUAAGGCUCAGAUGUCUGGCUAGGGUUAAGAGCAUGGACAACGUCACCAUGCUUAGAGAGAGGGGAUAGAACAAGCAGCAGGUUUAGGGAAAAAUUUUCCCCAAAUUUCCCACUUUUCAAUUUCUGGCGUGUUGAGUGUGAGCUAAUGGUUAGAAAUGAGGGUGGUGAUGCCCAGGGCUGGUGGGCGGGGUCCAGGGGAUCAUAGGAGACACAGGGAGCAGGAGUAGAGGGUACGGCUGUAUGUGGUGGAAUGAAGAGUAAAUGGAGGGGAAGAAAUGAAAGAAGCAAAUGAAAACUAUUCUUUUAGUAAUUUUGGUAAAGAAGAGAAGGGUAUGAAUGAAAUAGUGUAAGAGUAUUUUAUCAGCUGUGUUGGGAUUAAGAUGGCCAACUCUCAAUCCAGGCUGCCUAGCUUUGAAUUUUGGCUUUACCACCUUUUCACUGUGAUCUUGAGCAAGUUACAUAACUUCCCUGUGUUCCAGUUUCCUCAUCUAGAAAACAACGAUGAUGAUGAUGUCAGUGAUAACCUAUUUUGUACGUUCUCAUAAAUGUUUUUUAGGGUUUGAAGCAACAUGGAUCUCUCAAAUGUGAGCACCAAGACUGAAAACCACUAAGGAUAAUGAGAAGCUGUCUUUGUGCACACAUUUUGGUCUCCUCCCAUCCAUGCUGGAAAUAGCCACUUCAAUAUCAUCAGAAGGGUAUAAUGCUGGGAGACACUCUCUGGCCUCAUGGAGUUCCCUGUCCAGUUGGAUGGACACAAAGGCAAGAAGACACAGGGAGCGUGACAGCAGCUAUGAGAGGUGUUGGAGCCUGCGGCUGGGGUGGGCGCGGUGCCGGAAGGCUUCCUGAAGGGAAGGGCUUCUCCACCAGAUCCUAAAAACCAAGUAAGAGAUAGUCAAAUAAAGGAG